rnacentral:rRNA from 1 species
AACGUAGGUGACAAGCGUUAUCCGGAUUUACUGGGCGUAAAGCGUGUGCAGGCGGGGGUACAAGGGGUGUAUGAAAUUUCCCAGCUUAACUGGGAAGGGUUAUGCCAGACUGUACUUCUGGAGUGCGAGAGAGGGGCGUGGAAUUCCGGGUGUAGUGGUGAAAUGCGUAGAGAUCCGGAGGAACCCCAGAGGCGAAGGCGGCGCCCUGGCUCGCAUCUGACGCUCAGACACGACAGCAUGGGGAGCGAACGGG